CCUACGGGGGGCAGCAGUGGGGAAUAUUGGACAAUGGGCGAAAGCCUGAUCCAGCCAUGCCGCGUGUGUGAAGAAGGCCUUCGGGUUGUAAAGCACUUUCAGUGGGGAAGAAAGCCUUGGGGCUAAUACCCUCGAGGAAGGACAUCACCCACAGAAGAAGCACCGGCUAACUCCGUGCCAGCAGCCGCGGUAAUACGGAGGGUGCGAGCGUUAAUCGGAAUUACUGGGCGUAAAGCGCGCGUAGGCGGUCUGAUAAGCCGGUUGUGAAAGCCCCGGGCUCAACCUGGGAACGGCAUCCGGAACUGUCAGGCUAGAGUGCAGGAGAGGAAGGUAGAAUUCCCGGUGUAGCGGUGAAAUGCGUAGAGAUCGGGAGGAAUACCAGUGGCGAAGGCGGUCUUCUGGACUGAUACUGACGCUGAGGUGCGAAAGCGUGGGUAGCAAACAGGAUUAGAUACCCGUGUAGUC
rnacentral:rRNA from 1 species